GUGGGGAAUCUUGCACAAUGGAGGAAACUCUGAUGCAGCGACGCCGCGUGAGCGAUGAAGCCCUUCGGGGUGUAAAGCUCUUUCGACGGGGACGAUAAUGACGGUACCCGGAGAAGAAGCUGCGGCUAACUACGUGCCAGCAGCCGCGGUAAUACGUAGGCAGCAAGCGUUGUUCGGAAUUACUGGGCGUAAAGAGUGCGUAGGUGGUUGGUUAAGUUUGGUGUGAAAUCUCCCGGCUCAACUGGGAGGGUGCGCCGAAAACUGGCCGGCUAGAGUGUGGGAGAGGGACGUGGAAUUCCUGGUGUAGCGGUGAAAUGCGUAGAUAUCAGGAGGAACACCUGCGGUGUAGACGGCGUCCUGGACCAUUACUGACACUGAGGCACGAAAGCGUGGGGAGCAAACAGGAUUAGAAACCCUAGUAGUCC
rnacentral:rRNA from 1 species